UACGGAGGGUGCAAGCGUUGUCCGGAUUUAUUGGGUUUAAAGGGUGCGUAGGUGGCCUGGUAAGUCCGUGGUGAAAGCCUCUUGCUCAACAAGAGAACUGCCAUGGAUACUGCCGGGCUUGAGUCCAGACGAGGUUGGCGGAAUAGAGGCUGUAGCGGUGAAAUGCAUAGAUAGCCUCUAGAACCCCGAUUGCGUAGGCAGCUGACUAGGCUGGUACUGACACUGAGGCACGAAAAGCGUGGGGGAGCGAACAGG
rnacentral:rRNA from 1 species